GUCUAGUACAUGGGGUUGGUCACGUGACUUUUUAUUUCACAAGGCUCGGUCGGAACUGGGAACUAGGUAACUCAUGUCAAUAUGGCGGACAAACAUGGCGGCCAUACGACAAGGGGAAUACUCUGACGAAGUCAAAGAAAUGCAGCUAAAAUAUUGUUUUCUUGUAUAAUUUUGUCUUGGUUGAGUGUACUUUUUAUUGCUAUGUUGGUUUUAUCCAUUUCUUUUGGCAAAUCAUCAAUGUCGUUACAAAUUACAACCGGUAUUUGAGUAUUUGAGACAAUGCCGAAAGAUUCUCUAUAGAUUUCAGAUAUUAUCACAAGUCUUGAACUCUGUUCUACAUUUGCUCCACCUUCACUGUUAGAUGAUGACUGCCAACCUGCUCAAACUGAAAAGACAUGGGCUUGAAAGGAAAUAGCCUUGUCUACAAAAUCCACAUUUUAAUCAUUUUUUAAGUGUACAGUGUCUAUUAUGUUUUAACAAAUACAAAUGCA